UACGUAGGUGGCAAGCGUUGUCCGGAUUUACUGGGUGUAAAGGGCGUGCAGCCGGGCUGACAAGUCAGAUGUGAAAAUCCAGGGCUCAACUCUGGAAGUGCAUUUGAAACUAUUGGUCUUGAGUACCGGAGAGGUUAUCGGAAUUCCUUGUGUAGCGGUGAAAUGCGUAGAUAUAAGGAAGAACACCAGUGGCGAAGGCGGAUAACUGGACGGCAACUGACGGUGAGGCGCGAAAGCGUGGGGAGCAAACAGG
rnacentral:rRNA from 1 species